UCCUGCGCAGGCCGCGUUCGAUGCGGUCGGCGAGGCCCUGGGCCUCGUUGCCCAGGCCCGCCUGGGCGGCGGCCGUGGUGGCGCCCGCGCGCAGGGC
rnacentral:tRNA from 1 species